rnacentral:miRNA from 1 species
ACUAAAUGUCAAACAUAUUCU